UCUGCAGGGACGAGGCCGCAAGGUGACGGUACCUGCAGAAGAAGCCCCGGCUAACUACGUGCCAGCAGCCGCGGUAAUACGUAGGGGGCAAGCGUUAUCCGGAUUCAUUGGGCGUAAAGCGCGCGUAGGCGGUCUGUUAGGUCAGGAGUUAAAUCUGGGGGCUCAACCCCUAUCCGCUCCUGAUACCGGCAGGCUUGAGUCUGGUAGGGGAAGAUGGAAUUCCAAGUGUAGCGGUGAAAUGCGCAGAUAUUUGGAAGAACACCGGUGGCGAAGGCGGUCUUCUGGGCCAUGACUGACGCUGAGGCGCGAAAGCUAGGGGAGCGAACAGGAUUAGAUACCCUGGUAGUCCUAGCUGUAAACGAUGGACACUAGGUGUGGGGAGAUUAUACUUUCCGUGCCGCAGCUAACGCAUUAAGUGUCCCGCCUGGGGAGUACGGUCGCAAGACUAAAACUCAAAGGAAUUGACGGGGGCCCGCACAGACGAGCGGAGCAUGUGGCUUA
rnacentral:rRNA from 2 species